AUGUUGAAAGAUAUUUUGUUGAGAUAUGAGGAGGCCUCGGGCCAACAAGUCAAUUUACAAAAGUCCUCCAUUUUCUUCGGGAAAGGUUUUCAGGAAGAGAACAAAAAUGAGCUCCAAGAUGUAUUGGGUGUUCAGUCAGAGGCACUGAGUGAGCGGUAUUUAGGAUUGCCAACACUGGUUGGGCAGUCUAAGGAAGGUGCGUUCAAAUAUGUGACAGAG
rnacentral:rRNA from 1 species